GAGGAGGCAGUCAAAAGGAAAAACACAAAUAUCUCCAAGAUGGCACUUACAAAAAGCAACAACAAUGACAAAGUAUAAAUACAAACACACACCUUGAAGUUUAUGUUCUUACUCAAAUGCAAGCAUCAACAAUGGCCUACUGUCAGUAAGUUAAAUGGCUGUGGCUGUUUCAGUCUCCCAUUACAUGAAGAAUCUUCUGGAGAGGGAAAGAAGAAACCAUGUCUAGACAAGGUGCUGGAAAGACCCAGGGAAGACACAGAUUUGUUCCUUUCUCCACCAUGCCUCACUAUGUGUCACCAAACUUAAUUCAGCAUCAGUGCUCUCAAAUACUCCAUCCUACAAUUAGAGAAACCACUGAAUUCAGAUAUCCUCCACCAAAAUGGUAACGAAGAUUAGAGAAAGUGACGCCCAUGUAUAGCGGAGAAGUGGAUUGCGGAUAUAACAAGGAGCACAGUAAAGUAAGAUGUAAAACACCUUAUUCAACAACAAGGAUGCUGACUCAAAAGCAAAAGUUGAAGCACAUUAUGAAUGAAUGUCAAAAGGGAAAAAUCUAAAGCUAACAUAAAAGAGUGUGACUACAUCAAA
rnacentral:antisense_RNA from 1 species